rnacentral:rRNA from 1 species
GGCUUAACACAUGCAAGUCGAACGCCCCGCAAGGGGAGUGGCAGACGGGUGAGUAACGCGUGGGACUCUACCGUACCCUACGGAAUAGCUCCGGGAAACUGGAAUUAAUACCGUAUACGCCCUACGGGGGAAAGAUUUAUCGGGGUAUGAUGAGCCCGCGUUGGAUUAGCUAGUUGGUGGGGUAAAGGCCUACCAAGGCGACGAUCCAUAGCUGGCCUGAGAGGAUGAUCAGCCACAUUGGGACUGAGACACGGCCCAAACUCCUACGGGAGGCAGCAGUGGGGAAUAUUGGACAAUGGGCGCAAGCCUGAUCCAGCCAUGCCGCGUGAGUGAUGAAGGUCUUAGGAUUGUAAAGCUC